UACAAUAUGAAAGGUAUUUAUGUUUUAUCGUCGUCAUUAACGUAUGUUAAAUAUUUUAUCUUAACUUAGUUAAGUUAGCAAUUUAUAAAAGCAUGUUAGCCUUUCUGCCAAAUUAGCACUACAUAUUAUAUUCAACUUGAUUUCCACAGUUACAUUUCUCCAUAAAGGCAGAGAAUAUAAAACCAACUUUGAUUACAUUGAUUAAAUAUCCAAAUGAAUCCAAGUGCCCUCUUUGUAAAAAGCACAGAGACUACAGCAUCCUGCUGCCUGCCUUCAGAGUCAUGAAGAUCACAUUAUGAAGUAUGCAGGUUUCCAAAGGACCAUUUUGUGGUGUCUCUGUAUUUCAUCCUCGAGGCCCCAUUCAAUUUUAACAAGCAUACUGCCCAUAGUGGUUUUGAAGUUCCAAAAGUGCCUACCUUUCAAAAUCCAGAUAUUUUAAAAUGUUUAGACUUUAUUGAGCCAGUAAUGAGAAGACAAAGUAAAGACUUGGCACUACAUCCGAAAUGAGAAAAAAAAAAAAAAGUCUUGCUAUUCUGUUCCAUAGCACUGCGUUCUGCAGGUUUCAGGUCUUUUCUUUUAGAAGAAACGUCAGCCACCUUCUCCAACAUCCAGCACAGGGCAUCGAUGAGCAGGAAUUGUCGACAAGCAGCACAUGAGGGAAGGGCAAAACAAAUUUCUGUCGGGCACAAAUCAAUCUUCAGUGCAUCAAAGGUCUCCUUUAGCAAGUGGGUGCAAUUCAUGUACAGGUAGGCAACUAAUAACAGUAGAAACAUAAAUAUUAAUGUUAUAAAUUCACUUUGUUGCUGUCCUUUUUAUAAUUUUAAUAAAAUGUGUAAAAUUUUUUAAUAUGGCAUACAGUGUCAAUUAUUUUACAAAAAGGCCUACAUAAAAAGUACACGUUCUAUUUGCCUUUGAUGGUUUACACAGGGUCUACGGUUACGGCAGAUAGACAUGAUGGAUGACAGCAUUGCAGGCAGUUCAGCAACUCUUAGUAAAAUGUCAAAGAAAAUAAGGGAAGUCUGCGUUACAGCAAUUAAAAGGAUGAGAAGGCGUACAGGCCAGCAGAUUGGUGGAAGAAGGGAGUUUGUUGUGAUCGACGAAAGCCAUUUUCGGCACAAAAGAAAGGUAUGUUAUAAAAAUAUCAAUUUUAACUAAAUGUCAAUUGAUGUACAAUUGUAAUAAAUAUUUGUAUGUUCUGUAUCAAUCCGUGCGGUUUCUUUUUUUCUGCUGAGAACAUAACUGAGCCUUUAAAUCUCCUUUGUAAAUAUCAAUUACUAAAAUUACUAUUAUUAUGAUGUUCGUAUUGGUUUGUUUGUGUUUGUUGUGUUUCUUCUCCAUCAGUAUGGUAGAGGAAUAAUGGCUGGUGGAUGGAAAAGAAAGAAGUGGGUCUUUGGGAUGUUAGGUGUGAGGCUAAAUCAGCAGAGAAGAUCUGGAAAACCUAUUCUACGUCUUAUAGAGAGAAGAUCUAGAAGAAAUCUUUUGUCCCCUUGAUUGCCCAUCAUGUGAGGCCUGGGUCAUCUAUUAUUAGUGACGAGUGGCGUGCCUACUGUAUACUGCCUGCAUUAGGGUACAACCAUCACACUGUCAACCACAGCAGGUGGUAUGUAGAUCCCCACACUGGUGCCCAUACCCAGCAUAUUGAGAAGGCAUGGAGAUCCUACAAGGAGCAGAUUUGGAGGCUUAGAGGAAAUCGGACUGAGAGUUUGCUUUCUGACCACCUUGCAGUGAUUGAGUGGAAUGAAUGGCUAGCAAAGAAACACCAUGAUGGUGCAUUUGGCAGAUUGAUUUAUGACAUUUUAAAAAAAAUACAAGUAGUCAAAGUCAGUUAAGAAAAAUGAGAUGGCUAGGAUUUAU